UACGUAGGGUCCGAGCGUUGUCCGGAAUUAUUGGGCGUAAAGAGCUCGUAGGCGGUUUGUCGCGUCUGCUGUGAAAUCCCGAGGCUCAACCUCGGGCCUGCAGUGGGUACGGGCAGACUGUAGUGCGGUAGGGGAGAAUGGAAUUCCCGGUGUAGCGGUGAAAUGCGCAGAUAUCGGGAGGAACACCGGUAGCGAAGGCGGUUCUCUGGGCCUUACCUGACGCUGAGGAGCGAAAGCGUGGGGAGCGAACAGG
rnacentral:rRNA from 1 species